rnacentral:lncRNA from 1 species
UCCCAUUCGAUUUAUGGCGUGCUCGUUUGGGUUGGGCGUCGGCUAAGAGUGCUCGGAGCAUGGAUUAACUCCAGUCGCCAAUCAGGUGUGUAUUUCUCACUACUCUAGCUAUAAGAUGGCUACUUCGGGCAGCGAUGGGCCGAAAGGGGUCAUGUGGGCCUAAUGGGCCUAUGGGCCCAAUUGGAUAAGUUGUUUGAUUGUGUAGUAAAUAUUGGACUAGGCUAGGUGAAUCUCAUAUUUGUGGCUAGAUUUGGGCUAAAAGGGCCACACGAGCGUGUGGGCCCAUUUGGGCCGAGAAUAGGCUUUAGGCCCAUUCUAUUGUUAUUCCUGUUUAGAAUACUUUAGUUUACCAAAUUACUGAAAUGCCCUUAAUUUGUCAAAUUACCAUUUUACCCUCAUUUUACAGAAUUACCGUUUUACGCUCGAUUUAUAGAAUUACCAUUUUACCCUCGAUUUACAAAAUUACCAUUUUACCCUCGAUUUACAGAAUUACCAUUUUACCCUCGAUUUAUAGAAUUACCAUUUUACCCUCGAUUUAUAAAAUUACCAUUUUAUCCUCGAUUUACAGAAUUACCAUUUUACCUUCGAUUUAUAGAAUUACCGUUUUACCUCGAUUUACAAAAUUACUAAAAUACCCUUGGUUUACAAAAUUACCAAAAUGCCCUCAAUAAGUAAAUUACCAAAAUACCCCUGGUUUGUAAAAUUACUAAAAUACCCGUGGUUUGUAAAAUUAGCAAAAUACCCCUAGCUUGUAAAAUUACCAAAAUACCACUGAUUUGUGAAAUUAUCGAAAUACUCUCGAUUUGUAAAAUAUCGAAAUACCUUUGUAAGGUAGAAUUAUCGAAAUACACCUUCAGAGUAUAAUUACCGAAAUACCCUUGUAGGGUAGAAUUACUGAAAUAACCUUGUAGGGUAGAAUUACCAAAAUACCCCUAUAGGGUAAAAUUACUGAAAUACCCCUGUAGGGUAGAAUUAUCAAAAUACCCUUGUAAGGUAGAAAUACCGAAAUACCCCUGCAGGGUAGAAUUACCGAGAUACCCUUGUGGGGUAAAAUUACCAUUUUGCCCCUUGAGUGUUAAAUGACUGUUUUGCCUUUGUGGGCAAGUGACUGACUUGGACUGUGUGGUUGACGGAUUUGAUUGUGAAUAUAUGUUGGUGAUAUGAAUGUCUUGACUGUGAUUGUUUGAUUCAAAUAUGGGCAUGGCAUUUUGCAUACAUGACAUGUUGCAUGGGUUGGGUUUUAUAAAUGGAGGAAGUACUAAAAGGGCUAUGCCCCAGUUUAACGAAAAGGGCUUUGCCCCAGUUUACCGAAAAGGGCUUUGCCCUAGUUUAUCAAAAAGGGCUUUGCCCCAGUUAUUAAAAAAGGCUAGGCCUCCAGUUAUAUGAUAAAGCAGCUAUGCUGCCAGUGGAGAGUUUGGUUGGAUGGGUUAAGUUAUUCCCCACAUAGAGAUCUUGGUUGGUACGGGUGGAGAGUAGCGAAUGGUGGGUUGAGUAGUCUCCGCAAAUGGGCUUGCAUACAUUCAUUGGUAUUUCAUGUGAUAGUGAAAUGGGCCUAUGGGCCAUAUCAUUUACAGUAAAGGCUUUGGCCCAGUGAUAUGAUUUAUGAAAAGGCUUCGGCCCAGUAACCGUUAAACGAAAGGCUUCGGCCCAGUAUAUGUCGAGAAUGAAUAGGGCUUUGGCCCAGAUUGUACUGAUACCGUGUUAUUCACUGUUUGUUUGUUAUUGGGAUUACACACUGAGUUUUCGUAAACUAACCCCAUUUCUAACUAUGCAGGUAAUCCCUAAGCUUAGAUGGUUUGAGCUGCGAGGGACUCGGAGAUGGCCACACUACUGUUUUUGUUUCUUUUAAUUGCAAUUAGAUUUCGUUUUGGGUUUUUAAAUUAUGUAAUAAGGCCGUAGGUGGGUUUUUAAGUUUUAAUUUGGAUUGUGAUUUCUUAUACUAAACUGCUAGUCUAGGAAAACUCGAGAUUUCAAAAUAGCAUGAUUUUCUAAGGAACACGAGCUUCCAACAACAAAGUUUUCAAAAUGCUUCCGCGAUUUUAAAUGAGGUAAUAUACCAAAGGCAAACAAAUUGGUAAACGUUUUGAUGAGAACUUUAGUUUAAUUAUAAUAAAGGAAUUUAGAUUCAGUAAUGGAUUUUCACCGAAAAGAUCAAAUUUGAAAAAUGGUUUGAUGUGACGCACCAGAUUCAGCCAUAACGUCUAGGCCAAGUUUGAGGUGUUACAUUUUCAAUAAAAAUGAGGUUUUUGCUAAAACACUUCAAUGUGACACGCCAGAUUCGGCCAUAACGUCUGGGUUGGGUUUGGAAUGUUACAUAAACAUACAUGGAUUAGUUUGAAACUAUUUCAAUAAUAUAUUGGUAUAUUCGGUUAUAAGAUGGAAUUCAAUAAG